GGUGGCUGCAAGGCGGGCCUCCAGAGUGAAACGAUGUGGACAGCUGACGACGCACAUUUCGGAGGACGCAUGUGUUUAUCUUCUUCUUUCCCGAGUCAGCGCGGGGGUGGCAGCGAUGGGCCGGGUUGAAAUAAAAAAUAAUUAGGCAUUUCAAAUUGGGGAGAAAAUAAGAAAAAUAACUGGUGAUUCCAAAUUUAAAAUAAAUAAAUAAAUACCUUUAUUGAUCAAUGCCCUGGGUCAGUCAAAGAGCCAUAGACAUGGCCUGAGCUGAAAAAAAAAAACUGAAGAGAAGAUUACUCAGAACUACUCUGCGCAACACGCACAGGAGGAGGACCAUCCAGACAGGUGGAACGGACCAGCCUGGAAAAGAACAUUGAGAACAUCUUCACCCCAGAACAACUAGAAGGUGUGCAGGGCAUCACUGACACCACGAGACGUAAAGAUGACUCUCAACCAGAUAUAUGCCAGCGUCAUAAUGUGGAGGCCUAAAAGGGUCAGAAAAUGCAUGAAUGCCAGUGAUUUGCAACAGGUUUAGGAUUGCUCAUUCAGAUGUCAGCUGCAUGACUCAGGGUUUGUUUUGUUUUGUAAUGGAAGGAUUCCCCAUAAUUCAUAAAAAAAACAAGAUUUAGAAAUAAUGUCUGAAGGACGCUUGUGCAGCUUCACUGAAGAAGAAAGCAGGGUUUUAAUAUCUAUCUGGAGCAAAGGCAGGAUCCAACAAGCACUGAAUGAGCAGCAGAAAAAACUACAGUCGUCACUACAGCAGGGCGUCAGGUUCUUUUUUUUUUUUUCCCCCUCAAAGUAGAGUCUGCUCCCCCCACUGUUUCAAGCAAGUGUAAACGCACCGUUCUGGUACAGACUGUCCCAGAAUCUUAUCGGAAAGAUUCCGGAACGCUAGUGUAAACGCACCUAAUAUUUGGAUUGUCCUCCCCAUUCCAGUUAUUAACAGAGUGCUGUCUCAUAUUGAAUGUAAUAAGGCAAUGGGAACCUUAAUUAUCCCUAAGUGGGGGUCUGCGCCAUUUGGGCCAUGUCUGUGUACCAAUACUGGACAUUGUUGAUUUCCGUGUUUUAUCUGAUGAUUGUCAGAAUUUAAUUCCUGGUAUUCACUACAAAGGGUUAAUUGGCAGAAUUCCCUGUAAAUUUGAUUUCAUUGUCCUGAAAUGUGUUUUUAAAUCUAAUCAUUUAUAGAAUUAAAUCAGUACAGGUUAUGUGGUUUGUGUU